rnacentral:piRNA from 1 species
UGGACUUUGUAUAGUUGGUCCAUGGAAUGA